UCAAAAAAUAUAAAAAAAUAACAUGGAGGUGACAGCAGCGUGUAGCAAUGAGGUGGCGUAUAAUAAUUUAAAAGAGUUUUAUGAGGUUACUGACAAGGUUGGUGAGGAUGGGAGGAAUCUGACUUUUCUGUGCAAACUUUGCCCGCCGGCUUUCAAAAAGAAAAUCCGAACUUCAGUUACAUCCACAGCGAACCUGAAACGGCACAUUGAACUGAAGCACCCGGCUAGUCUUUCAAGAGAAAGGAAAAAAGGCGAAACGUCUCUGUUCCUCCACUCCCAACUGUCCGUUGGAAGAAGAGGGACAGCAAAGGAGAUCUAGUCUUUCAGCGACCAAGAUCAGGAAGAUCCACAAAGGGCUCAUCACCUGCACACCCAUCUGCCAAAGCUAGAAGCCAUGACAUUGAAGAGGACACAGAAGAUCUUGAACUUCAGGAACUCUUGGACAAUUCUGAUGUUCAUGAUGAGACACCACCACAGCUCAAGGCCAGUAAACUGGGCUACUAGACAGCUAAUGUCUUCAGUAAGGUGGAGGGAGGAGAGGGCAUUUCUCGUUAACAACUGACUGGCGAUGGAGGAUGUCUCCUCAUCACCCAUAUGUCAACAGCGUGGGACCAACCCAGUUGUCAUGCGCUCUAGAGACUGCCUUCCAAGACCCUUCUUCUGUGCCGAGUGUGACUCAGCAAGGCAUUCCCUUUUGGUGCUCCACAAUAGGGUUGCCAUGGUGGAAGGUUUCCUAGAGCCACUCCCUCCCACUGCAGGCAUCACAAUCCUUGAUGGCAGCCCUGCUUUCAAACAACUUGCUCCUCUCCUGCCUGUAGAGAGGCCUCAAUGUUUUUGCCUGUGUCCACAACCAGAAAUCAGUGUUUGCCCUGGCAGGUCUGUUGCGCUUGUCACCAUGAAUGGUCAUUACUAUCUGGCAUUGCCAGAGCUCCAUUGUGAAACAUGCAAGGAGACUUGUUCAGCAGAAAUGAGAGACCUGCAAAGAAGUGACUGCCACAAUCAACUUUUGCACUGCGUUUUCGACUGGCGUUUUUGCCUCAUAUGAAGAGAUGAAAAUGGCUGCCCCAGGGAUGUCACGUCAAGCAUUUUUGACAAUGCUUGACCAAAGGACAGAACGUUUUGGCAGAGUGUCUAGGAAGGGGAUGUGUGGAGCUUCAGAAUGGACUGCCGCCAGGGAGUUGCUCAAAUAAAUCCAGCUGCAAGCUUGAUGAGGAGGGACUGGAACUAGUAGUGUGCUGACAUCGACUUCUCCUCGGUGCAUUGAACAUGUACAGGGGUGAGGUCUAUGCUUACCCACUUUUCCUCCAGCACAAGCUAGCCUCUAAGUCAGCAGAAAACAUUACAUUUCUGUGUUCUGAUGUGGCGUGCAAGUAUUUCCCCUAUGUCCAGGAGGUGGCCCAAAAGUGCCCAGAGCUACAGGUCCUUUUGAACAUGCAGCCCUUCAGUGGAAAUGUGAGGUCAAAUGGGGAGAAUCAUAUCAAGAAGGAGCUGGAUCCACCAAAGGCGAGGAGGUGAUUUCAUAAAGUUUAUUAUACAAUUAAAGGUGCAUACACAAGAGCACUAAAGCUGGGGAAAUGCAGCAAAACUGGAGGGCUUUGGGAAAUCAAGCAGUGACGUUGGAAGAACUGACUUCACAGCUAAAGGAUGACAUCUCUUCCAACUGGAAGUUAACUUUUUAUUUUGCAUUUUAUUGAUUACCAGUCAUAAAAUAUCUGUUUUAUAAACUGA